UCUCUCUAAUUGGUGAGAAAAUGUAAAAACCCGAAGCAGAGUUUUAAAUGAGUGAUUUCAGAACACUCGAAUGAAGAAAUCUAUUCUAUCGCUCCGUUCCAUUCAUACACGGUGUUCAAGGCCGGUUUGUAUGUGCGUUGCUGCUUAGAUACACGCAAAACUUGACGGUUUGGCUUCUUUUAAACCAUUUCCAACUAAUUGACGAAUUUUUGCCUGAAAAAUUGGACAGUUUGCCGGACACCCGAGGAUCAAAAUAAGGAUGAAAUGAAGCCAAGUGAAUGGCCGUCAGUUGAGCAGGCGGAUGAGAGUGGCUCAGUGAUCGCUCAUGUUUAUUCUCUAUUCAGGCUGAUGUUUGUUGAGCGCUGCGGCGGAGCUGCGCUGAAUCUGAUCCUCCUCCCCACACGCGCUCACUCUGACAAAUUAAGAGUCCCUGACAUGACAUUUUUCCAAAAUAAAAGUUGGCAAGAGAGAA